GGGCUUAUGGCUCAGUCUGGCAACGCUUUCGUCCGUUGACACCGAAAGGCGACUCCUGGUCUUCGACCGGAGUCCCCAGCAAAGCAACAAUGAAACGUUGGACAAUAGAGCAGCCGACUCUUAAUCGGCAGGUCAGGGGUUCGAAUCCCCUUGGGCCCA
rnacentral:tRNA from 1 species